rnacentral:tRNA from 1 species
UCGCUGACAGUCCAGUGGUUAGGACUCCACGCUCUCACUGCUGCAGGCCCAGGUUCAACCCCUGGUCAUGGAA